CCUACGGGGCGCAGCAGUGAGGAAUAUUGGUCAAUGGACGAGAGUCUGAACCAGCCAAGUAGCGUGAAGGAUGACUGCCCUAUGGGUUGUAAACUUCUUUUAUAUGGGAAUAAAAUGUUCCACGUGUGGGAUUUUGUAUGUACCAUAUGAAUAAGGAUCGGCUAACUCCGUGCAAGCAGCCGCGGUAAUACGGAGGAUCCGAGCGUUAUCCGGAUUUAUUGGGUUUAAAGGUAGCGUAGGUGGAUGGUGAAGUCAGUGGUGAAAGUUUGCGGCUCAACCGUAAAAUUGCAGUUGAAGCUGGCAGUCUUGAGUACAGUAGAGGUGGGCGGAAUUCGUGGUGUAGCGGUGAAAUGCUUAGAUAUCACGAAGAACUCCGAUUGCGAAGGCAGCUCACUGGACUGCAACUGACACUGAGGCUCGAAAGUGUGGGUAUCAAACAGGAUUAGAUACCCGGGUAGUC
rnacentral:rRNA from 1 species